AUCUCAGUUCGGAUUGCAGGCUGCAACUCGCCUGCAUGAAGUUGGAAUUGCUAGUAAUCGCGGAUCAGCAUGCCGCGGUGAAUACGUUCCCGGGCCUUGUACACACCGCCCGUCACACCAUGAGAGUUGGCAAUACCCAACGUACGUGAUCUAACCCGCAAGGGAGGAAGCGUCCUAAGGUAGGGUCAGCGAUUGGGGUGAAGUCGUAACAAGGUAGC
rnacentral:rRNA from 1 species